rnacentral:rRNA from 1 species
UAUUCCUACGGGGCGCAGCAGUGAGGAAUAUUGGUCAAUGGCCGAGAGGCUGAACCAGCCAAGUCGCGUGAGGGAAGACGGCCCUACGGGUUGUAAACCUCUUUUGUCGGGGAGCAAAGCGAGUCACGUGUGACUCAUUAAGAGUACCCGAAGAAAAAGCAUCGGCUAACUCCGUGCCAGCAGCCGCGGUAAUACGGAGGAUGCGAGCGUUAUCCGGAUUUAUUGGGUUUAAAGGGAGCGUAGGCCGCAUGUCAAGCGUGCUGUGAAAUGUCCGGGCUCAACCCG